rnacentral:lncRNA from 1 species
AAGAUUCUGUUUAUGAGGUAAAAGUCAAGUCUGAAUUCCUUACAUGUAGACCCAUCUCAGAACAAGAGACCUUAUGAGAGAAAAAUACUUGCUUCUAUAGGCUUUAAAGACCAUUAGAAAUAUCUUUGAUUUGGAAGAUAGGUCAACACUGUGAUAUACACCCAGGGGCAAAACUGGUUGCAGUGACGACAGGAUGGCGUCUUUUACCAGUGUUGUAGUCGAGUCACUAAACCUUGAGUCUGAGUCGAGUCCCAAGUCUCCUGUGCUCAAGUCGAGUCAUGAGUCCCUAUGGCUGAAGUCCGAGUCCAGGUCCGAGUCACAAAUGGUCAAGUUACGAGUCGGUCUUAUGUCAUUUGUUUCUAGUCACCACCAGAUGGCAGUAUAUUGCCACUCCCUCAUGAAUACCUGUGUUUCACUACUUAUUUACUACAUAAAUUAAUGGUCCUGUAUGACGUCCAGCAGGACCUUGAUGGUGUUCUGGCUGGUCUCCAGGACCCCCUCCAUGCUGUGCAGCUGGGUCUGCAGGCUCCGGAUGUCGUGCAGGGGCCCGUUGGGGCCCAUCAGUUUCUCUGCUACCCAGGUCGGAUCCAGUUUACUCCUGGCCCCCGACACCAGCCCCCCCAGGAUCUCCUGCACCUGCCUCAGGGUGUCGGCCUGGGUGGAGGUCAGGGGCCCAACCGUGGGGCCCCCUCCAGAGCCAGAGCAGCCACGUGCCCCGGACGGGCACUGGCCAGGGGGGAGAGCUUGCUGGCUGUUGGGGGUGUUGGUCCCGGAGCAGAGCAUUUUAUGGAGGGCCCCGAGCUGAGCUCCUAGCUGAGCCUGAGCCUGGCCCAGGCAGGUGGGUCUGGAGAUGGCCUUGGUGGGCGAGGAACCCUGGUCCCCCUGGUUCCCUUUCAGAGGGACCACCAAGGGUGUUUGAGCUCUGUGUUUCAGAGAGCUGGCUCGAGGACAGGGCAGGGGUGACCCUGAACUUCCUGACCUCUCCUUCUCACUCGCCCGCCUGAGCAGGGGCGCCCGGCAGGCCGAGCCUGGGGUGCAACUCACCCCCUCUUUGCGUGGGGUGUACGGGGGAGGGGGCGGGGGUGGUGGUGGAAGUAUCCUCCUCUCCCCCCUACACUCCCACUCUAUCACCCUCUUGUCCUGAGCGCUGCAGUGUUGGGCCUGAGGUGGGGGGGUGUAGGGGGGUGCAGGGCGAAACGUGGAAGCGUAGAGGGGCACAGUUUUCGUUGGAGUUGCACAAGAUGGCGCCGUUGGAAGUGUAUGGUAGGAUUUUACCAUUGGAGACGGGGAGUUGCAGCUUUUUACAAUGGGAGAGGGAGAGGAGCAGUAUUUUAUUUGAAUAUGGGCGGAGUAGGAAGGUACUGCUGGAGGUUGGGAGGAGCAGGGUGGUACGGUCUGACAUGGGGGGUUCCCAGGUGGUAUGGUCUGAAUUAAGGAGAUGUAGGGAGGGGCAGUUUGGGCUGGGGGGUGGCAUGAUGUCACAGUUGGAGGUGGAGAUAUGAGUUGAUUUAAGGAAGAGCAGGAUAGGGCAGUUUGUGUUAGGAUGGUGCAGGGGGCUAUAUUUGGAGUUGGUGUUGGGGUGGGGCAAGUUGGGGCUGUGGAGGGGGCUAGAACAGGAUUUGGUUUUGGGUCAUGGCAAUUAGGGGCUGUAUAGGGGCUAUCGUUGGAGUUGGUGGUACGGUGGGACAAUUUGGAUUUGAGGCUGUGGUUGUAGUUAUGGCGGUGCAUGUUAGUUUGGGUGGGACAGUUUCAGUUUGUGUAGCGAGAGGUGGAGGGGUUUGAGCUUUAGAUGGAAGAACAGUUUGGGGAAGCACUGAUUUUUUCGGGGGAUAUGUACAGAUGGACCGGGGUGGGGAGGCGCAAGGCAGAACCACCAGUGGUGGUGUUUCACAAUAUGGAUGGGUGGAGGUUGGCACAGUUUUAGGUACGGAAGCAUAGAGAGGCACAGUCUGAGUUUGGGGGGUGGAGGGUUCCACAGUCGAGGGAGGUGGGGAGGCGCAGUGCUGCAUGGUGGGAGGAGGCGGGGAGGCGCAGAGACUGUCAGUUUGUGUUUGGGUGGUGCAGGGCUGCACAGUUAAGGGAGGUGGGGAGGUGCAGGGCUGCACAGUCGAGGGAGGUAGGGAGGUGCAGGGCUGCACAGUCAAGGGAGUUGGGGAGGUGCAGGGCUGCACAGUCGAGGGAGGUGGGGAGGUGCAGGGCUGCACAGUCGAGGGAGUUGGGGAGGUGCAGGGCUGCACAGUCGAGGGAGGUGGGAAGGUGCAGGGCUGCACAGUCGAGGGAGGUGGGGAGGUGCAGGGCUGCACAGUUGAGGGAGGUGGGGAGUUAGGAGGGGAGACACAGGGACUGUCUGUCUGUGUGGGAGUGGUACAGUAGGACACCUCCCUUCCCGGGUCACUGAUACCACGGUUCAUGCGCCAUCUCCUCCUCACUUGGGACAGAGUUGCACUCCCCUGGCGUUUAGAUCCCUCUCUCCCACAGGUCACAGAACCGCAGUAGCAAGGCUCUGCAGUGUGCCGAAGCCAAACUGGGUGAGGGGAAGAAGAAGAGUCACGCCUGGAAGAGUCCAUGUGAUUCCCAACAGCAGGGUGGAUAGCGUUAGCCUCAGCGUUAGCCUCGCUAGUCCUGAGGCAGUGGGGUUGGUCCACCAAUCCCUGUUUAGCCUUAGACCCAGGGCCGUUUCCAUCUAUAGAUGCAGGUUCUGAAAUGUGGUUGCGGGUAGUGUAGUACUCAUUCUUUUUAUCGUCCUGUUCGUCAUCCCCAUUCACCCCCACCGAGUCCCCCACAUUUCGGUUGCGCGUGCUGACGGCCGAGGGCGCCGGAGGCUUAGGCUUGGGCUUCUUGAGGCAGGAGGAGGUCUGGAUGGCCAUGCUGGUGCACUGCCUCCGGGAGAGAGGUAGUGUGAGGGAGCAAGGCCGUGGGGGCGAUGGUGGUGCCCAGCAGCGGCGCGUGGGCCCCGGGGUGAGCGGAUGAGGGGGCGCCCGAGCCAAAAACGCUGCCACUACCUCAAUGGUGUCUGCCAUAUCUCCUCGGACAGCCCCAACCACCGAGGCCUGGUUGGAGGACACCUCGUCCCCCAUUGACCUCUCUGUUAGCCAUCCCUGCGGGGCCAUGGGGCUUAUGGGGGUGUUCUUCCGCAGGGGGUGGGGGCUGUCACGCUCAGCGGCAGUCCUCUCGGAGCCUUUGGUUCCAGGGCCAGUGGUCCCGCUGCCGCUGCCAUCCUCCAAGUCUUUGAAGCGCACCUGGUGUGUGCGGUUGCGGCGGCGCUUGAGGCGGCUCUCGAUGUCCGGCGAGUCGCGGUUGAGCAGCACGGAGCGCACGGUCAUGGCGCCAGGCGGCUUGUCGGCUGUCUUGCUGUUGGUGUAUUGGCCAAUGAGCAAGUGAUUCGGCUCUUUGCUCACCAUGUCUCCUGUGGCGUCUUGUUCUUCCCCCCGACAUCCACAGUCCCUGCAGGCCGUUUGACGUGAUAAAAUCCUCUGUCAGAGAGUAAGGAGUAAUUCUAUUCUAUCUCAAUACAAUUUGUCUGUUGACAAUUCGUUUCUUCUCUAUGACAAUGGGAUACAUGUAUUGUCACAUUUGUUGAGCUGGAGUUCCAUCACCAAGCAGAUCUGGGGAGACAGCUGUAGCUUGUUGGUUUGAGUGAUCAUGGAGGUGAUUUGAGAUAACUGUCACACUGCAGUGCCGUCCGUCCUGCCAUCCCCCUUCUGCAGCACUCCAUAGGACUGGUCCUUUCUCGUGUGUGUGUGUGUGUGUGUGUGUGUGUGUGUGUGUAUGUGUUUCUCUGGCUAUCUGACUUCCUGAGAAAUGUAACCAAAGCCAGAAGGUUUGUACUUUGCUCAGACUAUGGAUAGAGAGAACUGUAUUCUGAGCUUUAACGUCAUAAAGUAAGUCUUCAGGGUGAACCGGAGUCUCAUAGUCCACAGAACUUCAUUUACUUAUAAUUUUCGUCCACUCAGCUUCCUGAUUUCCUUAUAAAGAGCAGUUCUAUAUAGCCGCAUUAAAAGUAUAAUAACGUCAGCACAUUAAACAUGGAGCAAGUGCCAACUUAAAGUAUGCCUCAUACAAAAUCUACAUCUAAAAGAGGACAUGUUAUUUCACAUUAAAUAAGUCAGAAGACCCAGAAGAGAGAGGUGAGCGUGAGAACAGGGCACACAGUUAUGUUGCAUGACUCCUGGAUGCACUCAGCUCCAACGUACCUCUAAUAACAUCCCAGGAGAUGGAAUCGUGACAGGGGCACUGUAUCUACCAGCGAAUAGGCACAGCUCCUCUGAAUACACCUUAUCCAUCCUUCCCAUCCCCCGAAUAUACAGGCUGGCCCUUCCUGUCCGCUUAGCAUUGUCCCAGGGGGCUGGAGGAAGAAUGGAUUGGUAAGCACUGUGUGACUCCCCAUAAUGGUCUAUCUUCCUCUCUCACAUUCUCUCCUUCACUCUCUCUCUUCCAGUACCUCUUCUCAGUGACUCAUCUUCCACUCAUUGUGCAGGAUAACAGAAUAGCC